UCUUUUUUCCCAUUCCCGCUCGGUUUUCCCUCCUCAACCAAAAAUUCCCAAUCUUAAAAACCAAAAAUCCCUAAUCUCCUCUUAUGGCUCUCUCUCUCUCUCUCUCUGUGGCGAGCGGCAACAGACAACUACGAGUGGCGGCAGACUAGGGCGUGAUCUUGGUCAUCAUCUUCUUCACUUAUCAUCUAAGAAACCCCAGAAGUUUUUAGUGUAUUUUGGGGAAAAGAAAUGAUGGGUGAAGGGGGGAAGGAGAGAGGAGUCGCCAGCGCCGAUCCGCCUCAACCUCACUACAGAACCUUCCAGGGAGUUUCCAACUACCUUCCUCCUCCUUCUCCUCCUCCUCAUCCUCAGCCCGCCAUCUUCCCUCAACCUGUUCCUCUCCCCGGCGCCUCUGAACCCUAUGCUAAUGCCUAUCAAGCCGUUCCAGCUAGCUGAAGAUUCAAUGGUGAAGUUGGAUAGAAUCUGUCGGGAAGCAAAUGUCAUGUUGGUAUUUGCACACUCGUAUGGCCUCACAGGGUUUGUUCGGAUCAGUGUGAAGGAACAUACUGUGAUUGAGUCAAAGCCUGAUCAUUUUUGGGAUGAUCUCCGACUAAAUUGCCCAUGGCCUGAGUUGAGGAGCAUGAGUUAAUCUGUGCCCUCUAUCCAGUAUUUGUCCAUUGUUUCAUGGAUCUUGUGGCAAAAGGUCAUAUUCAAGAAGCUCGAAAUUUUUUCAAUAGCUUUCGCGAAGACCAUGAGAUGAUGCACUUACGGGACCCCGCCAGAAAUUGGAAGGAGUUCUUUCUCCGUGUCAUCUGGAGGAAAUGGAGUUUGCUCAUUCUUUGAGGCAGAGCAAAGUGAAACGUAAGAUAUGCCCAGUUAUUGAUUCAGAUGGGCACCUUUUUUAAUUUUUAUUUCUUUAUUUAUUAGUAGAUUAAGAUGGGGCUAUACAAGGGAAAAGCAAAUCAUUUUAAAAUAAUUUAAGGAAUUAUCUGAAAGCUAAAUGUCAUUUUUGUCCCACUUUUCCCUCCAAUAUUCUUAUGAGCUUAUGUUGCAAUAUUUAUACAAGACACAAUCCAUUACAAUGGUUGGGGUUAUUAAUGAGCAUAUUAACUUUCAAGGUA